AGCCUGACUGGAGUAAUGAGUACUGCUAAUUCCUCACCACCGAAGUUCAAUUCUUCGGCUGACUCGA
rnacentral:tRNA from 1 species